rnacentral:rRNA from 1 species
CCUAACACAUGCAAGUCGAACGGUAACAGGAAGAAGCUUGCUUCUUUGCUGACGAGUGGCGGACGGGUGAGUAAUGUCUGGGAAACUGCCUGAUGGAGGGGGAUAACUACUGGAAACGGUAGCUAAUACCGCAUAACGUCGCAAGACCAAAGAGGGGGACCUUCGGGCCUCUUGCCAUCGGAUGUGCCCAGAUGGGAUUAGCUAGUAGGUGGGGUAACGGCUCACCUAGGCGACGAUCCCUAGCUGGUCUGAGAGGAUGACCAGCCACACUGGAACUGAGACACGGUCCAGACUCCUACGGGAGGCAGCAGUGGGGAAUAUUGCACAAUGGGCGCAAGCCUGAUGCAGCCAUGCCGCGUGUAUGAAGAAGGCCUUCGGGUUGUAAAGACCGUUCAGCGGGGAGGAAGGGAGUAAAGUUAAUACCUUUGCUCAUUGACGUUACCCGCAGAAGAAGCACCGGCUAACUCCGUGCCAGCAGCCGCGGUAAUACGGAGGGUGCAAGCGUUAAUCGGAAUUACUGGGCGUAAAGCGCACGCAGGCGGUUUGUUAAGUCAGAUGUGAAAUCCCCGGGCUCAACCUGGGAACUGCAUCUGAUACUGGCAAGCUUGA